UUAAGAUCCAAAUAGGACCAGCCACCACU
rnacentral:piRNA from 1 species